UACGUCGGGGGCGAGCGUUGUCCGGAUUUAUUGGGCGUAAAGAGCGUGUAGGCGGCCAGGUAGGUCUGCUGUGAAAACUCGAGGCUCAACCUCGAGACGUCGAUGGAAACCAUCUGGCUAGAGUCCGGAAGAGGAGAGUGGAAUUCCUGGUGUAGCGGUGAAAUGCGCAGAUAUCAGGAAGAACACCCGUGGCGAAGGCGGCUCUCUGGUACGUGACUGACGCUGAGACGCGAAAGCGUGGGGAGCGAACAGG
rnacentral:rRNA from 1 species